GAUGAAGAACGUAGCGAAAUGCGAUACGUAAUGUGAAUUGCAGAAUUCAGUGAAUCAUCGAAUCUUUGAACGCAUAUUGCGCUCUCUGGUAUUCCGGAGAGCAUGCUUGUUUGAGUAUCAGUAAACACCUCAACUUCCAUAUCUUUUUUGAAAUGGGAGUUGGACUUGAGUGAUCCCAACGCUUUUCCUCACCGAAAAGUGGCGGGUUACUUGAAAUGCAGGUGCAGCUGGACUUUUCUCUGAGCUAUAAGCAUAUCUAUUUAGUCUGCCUAAAAAACAGAUUAUUACCUUUGCUGCAGCUAACAUAAAGGAGAUUAGUUCUUGUGCUGACUGAUGCAGGAUUCACAAAGACGGCUUCGGCCGACUUUGUAAACUCGAUCUCAAAUCAAGUAAGACUACCCGCUGAACUUAAGCAUAUCAAUAAGGGGAGGA
rnacentral:misc_RNA from 1 species